CGUGAGGCGCUCCCGGCUCCUCCUGCCCCGCGCUGCCUCCGCCGUGUUGCGGAGAGACCCUGCUGCCCCUACAGCUGGGGGGAGGAAAAGCUCAGCCAUGGGCAGAGGGGCAGGAGGUGCCCUCCUGCGGACUCUUGCUGUCGGCUUGGCCUGAGGUGCCUCGAAUCUACCGUUAGGAAAUUCUGGCCUGAUAUCUCGAGAUGUCUGGUAGAAAACACGCAGACCAAGGUAGUCUGUCACCUUCUGACUGCAGAAAGGCUUACAGGGCUGAAGGGAAGGCUGUGACCUUGUACUACUUGCUCGGCAGGUAUCGAUUUCAAAGAAACUCAUCAGAAGAGAUUUGUCAGCCAUCGGAUGGAAUUUCUGGUCGAGACCAGAAGGAGAUGGCAAAGUUGGAGUAUCAGGUAGCACCGUGAUCGGUCAGAGCACUCACCUGGAAUGUGGAAAAUCGAGGUUCAGGCCUGGGGACUUGAACAUGAGAUUUACAGAGUGCCCUGAAGAUUUACAGAGUGCACUGAACGAGGCUUUUGAGUUGUUUGCUUGCUGUGCAUUUAACUGUUUAUGUAAAGUGGAAUCCUGCUAGCUAGCAGGAGGUGUUGAGGCCUGAUGUGUCCCUGAUGUGUUGGACUAGACUAGGACCUGAGGCAAUUUGUGGAAAAUGGGAGAGAGUGGCAAAACAGGCAGCACUGAGUGCUUUACUUACCCACCUUUUAAAUACUCUGCUCAUCUCUCAUUCUUGUGUAAAAAAUUUAAAAAGUCUUGGUCCUGGAGAGGAAUGAGAACAUUUCUGAAGUCACAUAAUAGCUUUGUAAAACGCGAAACCUGCUUCUCCCAUCCCACUGCUAUCUUCUAUGCCAUAGAAACAAAUUGCAAAAAUCCACUGAAUUCCUGGGAGCAAACUGUGACUCAUGUAAAAUGAUUUGUCAAUGGCUAGGGAGUUAACUGGAUGUAAGGUUCAUUGUAAGUAUAAAAAUUGCAGUCUCUUAAUAAGACAGCUUUUAAAAAUAAAAUGCUUUCUGGAUUUUAAGAAACUUUGUAAUAACAUAAACAAGGCUUUUAAUCUUGGUAAUGUUAGUAGCAAAUUAUAUACAACAUCUAAUUUUAUCAGACGAUAACAGUUGUAGUUUUUAUCUUCAAAAACAGGUUGUGAAUGCUUGAGGGGAAUAACUCUUCAUGGCAAAAGCUAAGUUAAUUUUGUGUUGUCUUAUGUUGCUGGCAAAGAAGCCUUUCUUUAUUUAGUUCAUCUCUUUUUUCUGUGUUUUUUUUUUCUCCAAAAAAGGAGUCAUUUCAU